GUGGGGAAUAUUGGGCAAUGGGGGCAACCCUGACCCAGCGACGCCGCGUGAGGGAAGAAGGCCUUAGGGUCGUAAACCUCUGUUGUGUGGGAAGAAGGAAGUGACGGUACCACACGAGGAAGUCCCGGCUAACUACGUGCCAGCAGCCGCGGUAAUACGUAGGGGACGAGCGUUGUCCGGAAUUACUGGGCGUAAAGGGCGCGUAGGCGGUCAUUUAAGUCAGCUGUGAAAUGGUCCGGCUCAACCGGAUCAUGCGGUUGAAACUGGAUGACUGGAGUGCUGGAGAGGCAAGUGGAAUGCCCAGUGUAGCGGUGAAAUGCGUAGAUAUUGGGAAGAACACCGGUGGCGAAGGCGACUUGCUGGCCAGCAACUGACGCUGAGGCGCGAAAGCCAGGGGAGCAAACGGGAUUAGAUACCCGAGUAGUCC
rnacentral:rRNA from 1 species